rnacentral:sRNA from 1 species
UACUACACACUAUCGUGUGGGUGAGACCCUGCGUUCAGGUUCGAGCCGAGCGGAGCGAGACAGCAACGCGCCAGCGUUGACCCGAAG